rnacentral:rRNA from 1 species
GACGAACGCUGGCGGCGUGCUUAACACAUGCAAGUCGAACGGUAAGGCUCCAGCUUGCUGGGGUACACGAGUGGCGAACGGGUGAGUAACACGUGGGUGACCUGCCCUGCACUUCGGGAUAAGCCUGGGAAACUGGGUCUAAUACCGGAUAGGACCGCACCGUGAGGGGGUGGUGGAAAGUUUUUUCGGUGUGGGAUGGGCCCGCGGCCUAUCAGCUUGUUGGUGGGGUAAUGGCCUACCAAGGCGGCGACGGGUGGCCGGCCUGAGAGGGUGGACGGCCACAUUGGGACUGAGACACGGCCCAGACUCCUACGGGAGGCAGCAGUGGGGAAUAUUGCACAAUGGGCGGAAGCCUGAUGCAGCGACGCCGCGUGGGGGAUGACGGCCUUCGGGUUGUAAACUCCUUUCGCCUUCGACGAAGGGUUUCUGACGGUAGAUGGAGAAGAAGCACCGGCUAACUACGUG